UGACAGCUUUAAUUUGGAAAUCGACGGGCGUUCGAUGACCAAUUUUGAGUAACGAGCCGAACCGAGCGACGUUGGCUGUGGGAGUCCGAUUGCAAGUGUCUAUAAGCAAUCAGAAGCGUGUGAGGUGGGUUGUGCUUCACUGAAGUGAUUAGGUCACUUCCAUACCAAGAGUAAAGUAUGGUAUUAUUAUUGAUGCAUGUAUAUAAUGGUAGAUUAUAUAUGGCAAAUAUGAAUGUAUGAAUUAUGUGUUAUUAUAUAGAAUUAUCUACCAUUGGACAAGAACAAUAGGCAUGUGAAAACAUAUAUGAUGUAUACAUAUAUAUGCCUAGGUAUGGAUAAUGAACAUAGGUGGAUGAACUCUAGAAAAAAUUAGAGAACUCGACAAAUGUAGUAUAUCAAUUUUUUUUUUAAUAUAAAAGCAAGUGUAGAUAAAAGUAGUAUGGGACACUAUUUUUUAUUGGACUUAGAGUAGUAAAAAAUAAUUUUAAAAUGAUUUUCUGUGGGAUUGGAAUGAAAAUCAGAGCUUUGGAAUUUUUAUUUUAGGAAUAGGGCUUAUACUGCAGCUGAAAAAUUGACAAUGGCAAAAAAUUCUGAAAAUUUGGAAAUUUGUCGAAACUAUUUUUCUGAGG
rnacentral:lncRNA from 1 species